GAUUGUCGAAGACAUGGUAAUGGCCGAGUUGUUUUUGAGAUAACUGGCGAUUUCCGGCGGUACGACGCCGCCAAAAUUCU
rnacentral:tRNA from 1 species